AUUGAACGCUGGCGGCAGGCCUAACACAUGCAAGUCGAGCGGAGCGGCGGACGGGUGAGUAAUGCCUAGGAAUCUGCCUGGUAGUGGGGGAUAACGUCCGGAAACGGGCGCUAAUAUCGCAUACUAUUGGAGCGGCAGAUAUCGGAUUCGCUCGUUGGUGGGGGAAAGGCUCACCAGGGCAACGAUCCGUAGCUGGGUUUCGAGGACGACAAGCCACACUGGGACUGAGACACGGCCCAGAAUCCUACGAGAGGCAGCAGUGGGGAAUUUUUGACAAGGUGCGAAAGCCUGAUCCAGCCAUGCCGCUUGUGUGAAGAAGGUCUUCGGAUUGUAAAGCACUUUAAGUUGGGAGGCGUUACCAACAGAAUAAGCACCGGCUAACUGCGUGCCAGCAGCCGCGGUAAUUC
rnacentral:rRNA from 1 species